CGUGAGCACAGGGGUGCCGCUGGGCCCGCGGAGCGUCGCCGUCGGUCCCGGGCGCCCUCCCAGCAGGACGCCGGGCGGGGCGCCGGGCAGCGCGCAGAGCCGGUCCGAGUCGCGGUGCCGCCAGGGCGGGGGCUGCGGUUCCCGGCGGCCUUCCCCGGGCGGAGCGCGGCGCCGCUGCCAGAGGCGGCCUGUGCUGGCCUGACGGUGCCUCCGUCCCGGUCUGUGCGCGCGGCCCGUCCUCCCUCCCACCGAGCGCAGCGCUCGGAGCCGCGGGCCGCCCGGGUGCCCGGUGUGGCGUCCAGGGCCUGCGAGUUCAUGGUCUUUUCCUGGGAGAAACGGAGGGGGCCGGGCUGCCCGCUCCGGCCCGGCCUCCAGCCGCCGCUCCCGCCCACACGCGGACAUGCGGGUCCCCGGGUCCGACAGCCAGGCCCCGCGGUCCCCUCGUUGGACUUUACGGCGGCGUAGGGCGGGCGCGUGCUCGUGCUCGCGGGCGGAGGGAGCGCCGGGUUCGCUCUCCGGCCUCCCGUUUGGGGUGUAGGGUUCCGUCGGGUUCCUGCCCCGCCCGCGGCCUUCUCCGCCCUUUGGCUCUAUCGUCACGGCCGCCCCUUUGAGCUCAGUGUCCUCCUAAUUUUCGAUAAUAGGUUUUCCCGUUUCCCAAAGUCAGGCACAGUGUUCCCUGCACCUGAGUGGAAAGAUCCGGAAAGAUCCAAGUGCCCCCGCACGUGCAGUGCAGACUGUUUCCCGCAAAGCUGACCCUUGUUCUCUUCCGACUUCCGCCCGGGAGGUGACUGACCCUCAGCGGCGCCCCCGGUCCCUGGAGAGGCGCUCAGGCCCGGGAUUGGGGGGGUCGGGGCGUCCACAGGCUCACCGCUGAGCCGCAGUUUAACGGGGUCACCAGCAGGUGGCAGCACGAGGCCGGUCCCAGGUCCCGCACUGUGGGAACCGGAACACCUUUUCCAUGAUGUUUGCAACAGAAUGAGUUUUCAUAUAUUCGUACCUGUUGAACUGAGAGGUUUUAGUCAACACCAUUGGAUUUUAGACAACAUUCCUUCUGCUUCCCACUCAUCCUGCUCAGGUAGAAGUGUGCGUCAGCCAUGGACAACCACACAACACAGCACUGGUAUUUCACUCUGGGAGGUGUCAUAGCCCGCCUUUCUGCACUGCAUUGCGCGUUGAAUAUUGCAUCUUGAAAAGGUUUAAAGGCCAGAAACAUUUUGUCUGAGGAUCUGCAGCUGGUUCAGGCCCAGUCAGUGUGGCUGUGCAGCUCCAAUUACUUUGCCUAGUGUGGGUGUUUCUGCUCUAUUAAAGCAACCAGCUGCUGACACAAGUCUUCUCUGACUGGAGAUUGCGUUUGCCUAAUAAAUAGGUCUUUUUACGGAA